GGAGAGGGGGAAUGGCCUCUGCGGGGGUGGCCUCCAGAUAGCCAGGCUCUGGCCUCUCAAACGCUACUCAUGCGCAUCCGAGGCCUGCACACUCAGGAACUUCAAAACCCUCGCUUGGACUGGUUAGGGGCCCGGAAGCGGCAGGAUUUAUUGUAAGGAAACGGCAGCCCUCCCCGCGCCUGGAGGCGGAGGCAGAGCAGUGGUAGGAGCUGAGUUUGACGUCACCGAUGGUGGGAGGAGCCCUGCGUGACUGGGCGCGACUUCCGGAAGAAGGGAGCGCCAGAUUGACUGUAGGGAAGGGAGAUGCAGCACGUGAUACCUGACGCAGGCAGGCCGACCGGCGGGGCGGGGCGGGAAGUGCUGGUGGUGCCGGCGAUGGGCGCCCCCUCCCGUCUCACAGAGGCCGUCGAGUCCCGUCAAGUCUGACUACCUUGAAGAUGCAUUGAAAAUUCUGCUACACUGGAGGAGUGAAGUAUCCCAUUCAGUUGGUGAUUUUCCUGUCAUGGAAGUUGCUUGCCAGCUCUAAUUUUGAAUGAACACAGUAAACACAAUGGUGAAAAUAUCAAUUAAAAAAAUCUACUCUCCAUUACUAUAGGCUACAGCACGUGAUAGUAUAGUUGCUCUGAUAUUAAUAUGUGAUUCCCAGUUGAUUCUUCAGGCCUUCCUUAAAUCUUGCCUGGAUUAUGAGUGUUGGGACUUCCCUGGUGACGCAGUGGUUAAGAAUCCUCCUGCCAGUGCAGGGAACACAGGUUCCAGCCCUGGUCCAGGAAAAUCCCACAUGCUGUGGAGCAACUAAGCCCAUGCACCACAACUACUGAGCCUGCGCUCUACAGCCCAUGAGCUACAACUGCUGAGCCCGUGUGCCACAACUACUGAAACCAGCGCACCUAGAGCCUGUGCUCCACAACAAGAGAAGCCACUGCAAUGAGGAGCCCACACACUGCAACGAAGAGUAGCCCCUGCUCACCACACCUAGAGAAAGCCUGUGCGCAGCAAUGAAGACCCAACGCAGCCAUAAAUGAAUAAAUAAAUAAUAAUAAUAAUAAAAAGAAAAAUUUACAGGUUAAGUGGAUAUUCAAUUGUAAUAGGAUUUUAUAAUGCUUUCAAAUGAUUUAACAUGCUGGGAUAAUGAUCUCAGUUCAGAAACUGACUCUAGGAAAUAAUAACAUGGUAACAUGCUAUUCACUUCCUUAUUGAUUAUAGAAAUUACAGUCCAACCAGCAGUCAUUAAUCCUGCAGAAUGUAAGAGCAGUGCAAGUUAAUUUUUUAAGUAAACUUUUUAUUGAAGUAUAACAUGCAUAGAGGAGACUGCAAAAAUCAUAAAUGUUCAACUUGAUGAAUUUUCACAAAAUCAGCAAACCCAUGUAAACAGUACCCAGAUAGGAAUAUAAUAUUACUAGAGGUCUAAGAGGUCUGCCUUGUGCCCCCUCCCCACCAUUACACCCAACUCUGACUUCUGUUGCCACAGGGAAGUUUUACCUGUUUCUUGAAGCUUAUGUAAGUAGAAUCAUGUAGUAUGUACUCUUUUGUGUCUAGCUUCUUUUGUUCUACAUUUUGUGACUUUACCAAUGUUUUUGCAUGUAGUGGUAGUUCUUUCAUUUUUGUUA